rnacentral:rRNA from 1 species
ACUGGGCGUAAAGCGCACGUAGGCGGCGUCGUGCGUCGGCACUGGAAAGCGCUCGGGCUUAACCGAGCGAGGCGUGUUCGAUACGACGAUGCUUGAGGCAAUGAGAGGUUGGUAGAAUUCCGGGUGUAGUGGUGAAAUGCGUAGAGAUCCGGAGGAAUGCCUGUGGCGAAAGCGACCAACUGGUGUUGACCUGACGCUGAGGUGCGAAAGCGUGGGGAGCGAACCGGAUUAGAUACCCGGGUAGUCCACGCGGUAAACGAUGUCGGCUCGGUGUGUGGCGAUGAUACAACCAUCGCUGCGUGCCCCAGUUUACACGGUAAGCCGACCGCCUGGGGACUACGAGCGCAAGCUUAAAACUCAAAGGAAUUGACGGGGGCCCGCACAAGCAGCGGAGCGUGUGGUUUAAUUCGACGCAACACGAAGAACCUUACCCAGGUUUGACAUGUUCCUGCAAGCCCACGGAGACGUGGGACCUACGAGGGUGGAACACAGGUGCUGCAUGGCUGUCGUCAGCUCGUGUCGUGAGAUGUUGGGUUAAGUCCCGCAACGAGCGCAACCCUCGCCGUCAGUUACCAGUGUCUGGCGGGACAGUCGUCUAGAGAGACGGAGGAAGGCGAGGAUGACGUCAAGUCCGCAUGGCCCUUACGCCUGGGGCGACACACACGCUACAAUGNCCGGGACAAUGCGUCGCGACCCCGCAAGGGUGAGCUAAUCGCGAAACCCGGCCCCAGUUCAGAUCGGGGGCUGCAACUCGCCCCCGUGAAGGCGGAGUUGCUAGUAACCGCGUAUCAGCCAUGGCGCGGUGAAUACGUGCCCGGGCAUUGUACACACCGCCCGUCACGUCAUGGGAGUCGGCAAUGCUUGAAGUCCGUGCGCUAACCGUAAGGAG